rnacentral:rRNA from 1 species
UACGUAGGGACCAAGCGUUGUCCGGAAUCAUUGGGCGUAAAGAGCUUGUAGGCGGUUUGUCGCGUCUGCUGUGAAAUUUCGGGGCUCAACCCCGAACUUGCAGUGGGUACGGGCAGACUAGAGUGUGGUAGGGGAGACUGGAAUUCCUGGUGUAGCGGUGAAAUGCGCAGAUAUCAGGAGGAACACCGAUGGCGAAGGCAGGUCUCUGGGCCAUAACUGACGCUGAGAAGCGAAAGCAUGGGGAGCGAACAGG